rnacentral:rRNA from 1 species
UACGUAGGGUGCAAGCGUUAUCCGGAAUUAUUGGGCGUAAAGAGCUCGUAGGCGGUUUGUCGCGUCUGCUGUGAAAACUGGGGGCUCAACCCCCAGCCUGCAGUGGGUACGGGCAGACUAGAGUGCGGUAGGGGAGAUUGGAAUUCCUGGUGUAGUGGUGGAAUGCGCAGAUAUCAGGAGGAACACCGGUGGCGAAGGCGGAUCUCUGGGCCGAUACUGACGCUGAGGAGCGAAAGCGUGGGGAGCGAACAGG